UCCAUCCCAUAAAAGCGAGGCUCUGCAACAGAGAGAUAUAGACUCUUUCUGUCUCUCAGUACUGGACUCUCUUUCAUUAUGCUGUUUCUGAUCUCUUCUCUUCUCUUCACUUGCGAGGUAUAUGGACUGGGUGGAUGGCAACGGAUUUUGAGGUAAAAGCCAAGUCGCGAACUUGAGUUGAAAGAAAGUGAAGGCCAAUCAUGUCGGUUUUACAGUGAGCUCUUUGAAUAUAUAUGCAGAAUGGCUAAGCUUGGACUUUGUAAUUGUUGGAUGUGGUAUGUUUGUCCCUUGCAGCCUAAAUGCCAAUUUCAGCUUUGGACCUCUGUACCAGUAUCUAUUAGGAAAAUACUUGGAUCACUUCCAUUAGACUUCAUACAAUUUCUGAUUGAUUGCAUCAAAGUCAAUAUCUGAUUGCAUCUAUUGUUUUUUUGUAUAAAUCAAUAUGCUUGGACUAUACAAUUGUUUCCUAUGGCACGUUUGUCCUAUGCACCCAAAAUGGUGGAGAUUGAUGUCCCACUAUCUCGAUUUGUAGGUUAGGUUUGGUCUCAUUUUCAUUAAGGAAAUGAAAUGGAAACCAUAACAUUGCAGGAAUCUUUUUGUAGCUCUCAUUCAACUCAAUUCCAUUUUUUUCUCCAUUUUGAAGAAGAGAUGAUCUCGAACCGAAGAAGUAUUACUUUGAAUGAACUCAAAUUCUUAAUGGAAUGUGUGGUAUUGUAUUUAAAAUUAAAAAGUUGCAUAUAUUUGAUUUUAUAAGUCGUAUAGUAUUUUGUUCAAUUGUAUUAUUAUGUAUAAUAAGUGGUAUUUGAGCCUUUUGUCUGGGCAUUAAUAGAUUUUUGCUCUUUUUUUUUUUGCAGUAAUAAAAAUUGCACUAUUGAAGCUGCCCAUGCCAUUUGGACCGGUGAUGUAGAUUUACGAAUCUGUGGCAGGCAUACACUGUGGAAUUAGAAGCCAUGUAAAUAAACUUGAAGACGAAAAUGAAACUUUGAAGCAAAGCCUAAAAAGUUCCAGAAAGGGAUUAAACUUCUAUAUAAAUUAACAAAGCAGAAGUGAAUGGAGCUAAGUAAUAAUCUCGUCCUCUGUUUUGUGGAAGUGUCACCAAAUGUGGAUGUUCAGAUUCUCGCGCUCUGUUGCUAUGAUAUGUUAAUGACAUUAGGCAAUAUUUUGAUGCCUUAUAAAGCAUAGCAUAUGCGAUAAUUGUAUAUCAAUAGAAUAUGGUCAACUUUUGUUUUCUGAGUUAGCGUGGUGUACUUCUCCUUUACUGGUGUUCUAAGUUUCCUUUGUUAAAUUACAAUGUCUAAGUA